CCUACGGGAGGCAGCAGUGGGGAAUAUUGGACAAUGGGCGAAAGCCUGAUCCAGCAAUGCCGCGUGAGUGAUGAAGGCCUUAGGGUUGUAAAGCUCUUUUUACCCGGGAUGAUAAUGACAGUACCGGGAGAAUAAGCCCCGGCUAACUCCGUGCCAGCAGCCGCGGUAAUACGGAGGGGGCUAGCGUUGUUCGGAAUUACUGGGCGUAAAGCGCACGUAGGCGGUUAUUCAAGUCAGAGGUGAAAGCCUGGAGCUCAACUCCAGAACUGCCUUUGAAACUAGAUAACUAGAAUCAUGGAGAGGUGAGUGGAAUUCCGAGUGUAGAGGUGAAAUUCGUAGAUAUUCGGAAGAACACCAGUGGCGAAGGCGGCUC
rnacentral:rRNA from 1 species